GAUGAACGCUGGCGGCGUGCUUAACACAUGCAAGUCGAACGGAAAGGCUCCUGCUUGCAGGGGUACUCGAGUGGCGAACGGGUGAGUAACACGUGGGUGAUCUGCCCUGCACUUCGGGAUAAGCCUGGGAAACUGGGUCUAAUACCGGAUAGGACCACAUUUUGGAUGGUGUGGUGGAAAGUUUUUCGGUGUGGGAUGAGCUCGCGGCCUAUCAGCUUGUUGGUGGGGUAAUGGCCUACCAAGGCGUCGACGGGUAGCCGGCCUGAGAGGGUGUACGGCCACAUUGGGAGUGAGAUACGGCCCAGACUCCUACGGGAGGCAGCAGUGGGGAAUAUUGCACAAUGGGAGCAAGCCUGAUGCAGCGACGCCGCGUGGGGGAUGACGGCCUUCGGGUUGUAAACUCCUUUCGCUAGGGACGAAGCGUUUUUGUGACGGUACCUGGAGAAGAAGCACCGGCUAACUACGUG
rnacentral:rRNA from 1 species